rnacentral:rRNA from 1 species
CCCUUAGAUGUUCUGGGCCGCACGCGCGCUACACUGACGAUGGCAACGAGUUUUUCCUUCCCCGAAAGGUGUGGGUAAUCUUUUGAAACAUCGUCGUGCUGGGGAUAGAUCAUUGCAAUUUUUGAUCUUGAACGAGGAAUUCCUAGUAAGCGCGAGUCAUCAGCUCGCGUUGAUUACGUCCCUGCCCUUUGUACACACCGCCCGUCGCUACUACCGAUUGAAUGGUUUAGUGAGGACUCCUGAUUGGCGCCGCCGCCCCGGCAACGGAGCAGCGGACUGCCGAAAAGUUGUUCAAACUUGAUCAUUUAGAGGAAGUAAAAGUCGUAACA